CUGCACACACGUAGCCAGAGUGGUACAACACCUCCAUGGUGCUUAGCCAUGGGCACUGCAAGUACCCUUCUUCUGGAGGACCACGAGACAAAUGAUCAAGCCAUAGCAUCCAGGCUGGAUGUGGCUCUGGGCAGCCUGGCUGGCGGCCCUGCACACAGCAGGGGUUGGAGCUGGAUGGCAUUGUGCUCCUUUGAACCCAGGCCGUUCUAUGAUUCUGUGAUCACAGAAUGGUUGGGUUGGAAGGAACCCUAAAGAUCAGAGAACUGUAAGAUGGGUCGGGCUGGAAGGAACCUUAAAGAUCACAGAACAAUAGGACGGGUUGGAAGGGACCUUAAAGCCCAUCCGGUUCCAACAGCUGCCCCAGAGCAGAGACUGUCUUCUAGAAGUUCCACUUCAGACCCAGCUAUCGGGAAGGACGCAGGAACAGCUUUAAAAGAGAGCGAAGAAACAGGGCGACGAGCGAUGCUGGCAAAGACCAUCAGGCUCUCCUCACACAGUUUGGACACCUGAACCAUCAGAAUCCUGAUGGGUGAGCCUCAGGACUGGGGAUUUUGCUCAGAGCAGUGCUAGAUAUAGACUACUGUGGCUGUACAUUCCGUGGAGUGAAAAGCAGAGAAAGAAAUUCUCAACUUAAAGCCUGGAACCAGAACGGUACAGAACCAAUCUCCUCACUGUUCCUCCAGAUCUGCUGAUUGAAUUUAGAAAGCCAGCUUUAAGUCUGCCACGGUGUGAAUGCAAACCCACGUUUUAAGAUCAGUGAACGCUGUCGUCGUGCUGUUUGCACUUCCAGGAUCACCAGUUCAGCUGUCUGUUGGUAUCAAGGCACUGCCUUGCCAUCUCCGAUCACAUUCCUUACUUUUCACUCUUAUCUGAAAAGGCUUCCAGAGCAGCGCUGCACACUUGAGCUCAAAGAAAGGGCAGAUCUGGUGUGUAGGACAGUAAGACUCUCUGUAAGGAUGAGAGGGAAGUUCAGUUCUUCUGGUAGCUUCAGAAUGUACUCUACAGCAAAGUUAAUACUUUUUUUUUUUUGCAGAAAGCAUUAUCUCAUGAUGUGGGCAACUGUCUGAAAUAUGCCAUGUAGGUGACUCAGUCCUACACCCAGCAGUAAUCUCCAAAUUCCAGGUCAUUAUUGGUUUUGAAUGACUUCAAGUACAACAAAGAAGAAAGUUUCUUUGUCCCUCUGUUCACCCAAGUCUCAGCAGGUGCCCAAGCUGCAGUAUCCUUUGAGCAGCUGUAGCUCAUGCAGCUGAUUUCCUUUGGAUGCCAAUGUAGUUGCUUCAAAGAAGAACAUGUGAGCUGAAGCCAGGAGACGUUAACUUCAAAAUAGCUUGAUGAGUAGCUACCAGCCCAUACAGGCUUCCAUUUCAGACUUGUCUUUGCAUUUUAAUUUUUCAUAGCUUGGCUUUUACACACCAAAGCUAUAAUAUCACACUGUUACGAUUACUAAUAUUUUUGUCAUGCCAAGAAUCCAAUCCUUCUCUGCCAAAACUGUUCCCAAAGUACCCUCGCUGCCAUUGCUUCCUCCAGCCAGGGCAGCUCUGGCAUCUCACAGCAAGGCAGCACUGUUCUGCUCUCACUGCUUACAGACAGGGAUUGCAAGUUGGUGCAGCUCUGAGGGCUGUGCAGGCCAGAUCUGUGCACACACAGAUCAUUCAGGCAAUUAAAGCCAGUAACUGGAGAAGCUGGUGGAGCCCAUCGGCCAUCUGCUCUGUUGGAGGAGGAGGGCCUAAAGUGAAGUCCUGUUGGAAGCACCGCUAGUUAUGUAAAGCAAUAAACAAAAAUAAGAUGGGUGUACA
rnacentral:lncRNA from 1 species